UACGUAGGCAGCAAGCGUUGUUCGGAAUUACUGGGCGUAAAGGGUGCGUAGGUGGGUUGGUAAGUCAGUGGUGAAAUCCCCGAGCUUAACUUGGGAACUGCCAUUGAUACUAUCAGUCUUGAAUACCGUGGAGGUCAGCGGAAUAUGUCAUGUAGCGGUGAAAUGCUUAGAUAUGACAUAGAACACCAAUUGCGAAGGCAGCUGGCUACUCGGAUAUUGACACUGAGGCACGAAAGCGUGGGGAUCAAACAGG
rnacentral:rRNA from 1 species